GAUGAUGUUGUACUGUAGGCCUGUAUACAAUGUUUUAAUAUUUUAUAUUGAAGAGAAUUUAGUUUGUCCUUAGACUUUUUGUUUAUGAAUGGAUACCAUACUGAAUAACCAUAAGUAAUUGUACUUCGAUAUAAUGUCUUAUACAAUAUCAGUCUUCGUCUAAAGUCUAGACCCCAUGCUUUCUUUGUCAGGCCAAAUAGGUAUCCACUAGCUCUAGUUACUUUUAUGAUCAUUUCAUUAACGUGAGGCGUAAAGUCCAGUUUGCUUCUGACUCGGUGAUUUUUAAUAGUCACUCCUAGGAUCUUAAGUUCUUCAACCGGUUUAAUUAACUUGCUACCUGAGACUAUUAUAUCGCUAUUGCAUUUAUAUAAAUAUAAUAUUUUUGUUUUUCAUCUGACAAUUUUAAUUUACGACUUUCACACCACUUAUUGAUUUUUCUUAAUACAUUAUCUAUUGUCUUUCUUAGUUGUUCAGGAGUUUUAUUCCAACAUAUUAACGUAAUAUCAUCUGCAUAUCCUAUUGUUUCACAAUUAUCAUCCAGACUAUUAUUCAGUAUCUCAUUAAUAAGAAUAUUCCAUAAUGUGGGAGACAGUGGUCCUCCCUGUGGACAUCCUUUACUUAGUUUCUUAUUAAUUUCAGUUGAGGAAAAUCUAAAUCUUAUUCUUCUAUUAUCAAAGUAUGAUUGUAGAAGUUUUAUCGUUGAAGCCUGCACACCAUCUUCAUCUAGUCUUUUCAUCAAGGCCGGCCACCAUGCAUUAUCAAACGCUGCACUAAUAUCCACUGCAAUUAUUGCUGCAUAUUCUCUUGUUUUAUGUUCUAACGCAAUUUUUAUUAUUUCAGUUAGUGCAGUAAUAGUAGAUUUCGAUCUUCUAAAGCCAUGUUGUCGAUCACUUAGUAAAUUAAAAUCUUCAUAAUAUUUUAUUAUUCUAUUAUUAAUUAUUUUUUCAAAUAUUUUAGAAAUGUUGGAAUUAAGACAUAAAGGUCUAUAAUUUUUAUAGUUAAUAAAAUCUGUUUUUCCAGGUUUCGGAAUAAUUAUUGCCUCUGCUCUUUUCCAUUCAGCAGGAUAGUAUUGUAGGUCCAAACAUUUUUGAAAUAGUUUCACCAAUAUAGGAGCUAUAAAUUGUUUAGUGUGCCUUAUCAUGUUGUUAGAGAUGUUGUCUAUUCCGGGAGAUUUCUUUGGAUUUAAUUUGUCAAUUAAGUCGUUAACUUCAGUAAUCAUAACCAUCGGUUUUUCUUUAUUGAGUAGUUUUAAAUUAUAAUUUCUUAUACUUUUAUGGAUGUUUGUAUCUUCUUCACAUUUAUCAUCUGGAAAUAAGUUAUUCAAUAAUUCCUCACCCUUCUGCAAACAUUCCAUAUCAGUAUUACCCUCCAAAAUUUGCAUAUUUCUCUUCCGAUUAGAUCCACUUUUGAUGUUUUUAUACACCUUAUAUAAGUUUCCAUAAGGGUUGUUCGAUUUGUUUUCCUCCAGAAAAAUUCUCCAGGAUGCUUUCCUAGCUUUUUCUAUUUCCCGUAAAUACUUAUUUCGUAUGCUUUUAUAUAAUUGUUUAAUAUGAUUAGGGCAAUUUUUGUUUCUAUAGUAACAGUUCCUAAGAUAAUGACAGUGAUCCUUUAGAAGCUGUAAAUUCGUAUUCCACCACUUAUUACUAAUAUUAUUUUUUGUUGUCAUAUUAUUAUUUACUUUGAGUGAAUUAUGUGCUGCCUCAAUCAGUAUGUUCGUAAGUUCUUUUACCGUUUGAUCAAUCAUUUCUGGUGUAUCCACUAUGUCUAGUAAGUUUUCAAUUUUUUCUCGUUCAGUACUGUUAAUGCUUGUCCUAAAUGAAAAACUGCCUCUUGCAGUUCGAAAACUCUAUUAGAAGGCAUGGUAUAGGUUAACAAAUAACUAAGGAAUAAAACUGGGGUACAUUUAUAGGGUAGGACUAGCAGACAAAGGAUAAAAAUCAGAUGAAAGAUAGGGUAUUGAUACAUGUUCUUCCAUGUUGUUGUAAAUGGUGAUUCUGAAAUAUUUGCUCGAACCUUAUUCAUUGUUGAUCGUUCAAUUUCGCACUGCUUGUUAUCGUUGGGGAGUGGCGUGUAUAUUUUUUGGGACAGAAUGAUAGGAUUGAAAUGAUUGUCAGGUUCGCAGUUCUUAACAUCGGGGAAGAAUGGCGUAAAUCGCCUUGUUGAAAAAAUGGCAGGGUCUAAAUGCCUGAAAGGCUCGCUGUUUGUGGGUUUGAAUCUUAAUGGCUCUGCUGGGAAUAAUUCGGGUGUGAAAUGCUUAAACGGGAACGUGUAAUCGGGCUUGUGCUUUAUAUGACAUAUUCUAACGGCGGGUGGUGAUAUAUAACGGACUGUUUCUGUAUACAGCUUAAGCUUAUUGACGUGGAUCGUGUCAGUGUCUCUUUGAAGAGGUUGAUUUGGUCGAUCUAUACGGACCACAUUUGGUGAAAUAAUUUCUAAUACUGUGUGGGGUCCUGUGAAAUAUGGCGCGAGUUUCCCUGUAUUGGGGUGGUGAUAUAAUUUAACUAACACUAGAUCACCUACUUCGAAAUGUGAUUGUUUGUCGUUGAUCAUAAAUGGUUUUGUCUUGAAGAUGCUUGUUUUGUGUUCGUGUGUGUGCAAUCUUUCUAGCUCUGUCGAUAUCUGGGUAAGGUGUGUUGUGGUUAGAGAGUUCUGGGGGUAGGAUGCCAAACAUUAGGUAAAUGGGUGGAAAACCUGUGGUAGAGUGUGGGGUUUUGUUAUAUGUGACUGUAACUCUUUUGACCAACUUGGUCCAUGCGAUCUUAGGAUUUUCUAAAUGUAACAGCCUAAGUUUUCCCGUGAGGGUGGCGUUCAGGCGUUCACAUAGACCGUUGGCUUGUGGAUUGUUGCUGGUUAUAAGUAGUGUGUGGAUGUUUCUAUUAAGUAGGAAACCACUAAAUUUUGGCGAAGUGAAGGCAGGGGCUCUAUCCGUAAGAAGGCGUUUGGGAGAGCCAUCCUGUAAUACUCGCUUAAGUACCUGUUGGUAGGUGGUGAUGCUGGUGGAUUUAGAUGGAAAAGUCCACGCGUAGCGCGAAAAAUGAUCGACUACCACAUGGAGGUAUAUUUUGGUGUUGCCAUAUUUGGCAAAUCCUGCUAUGGUGUCUAGGGAUAAUAGGUCAAAGGGUUCUUUGGCUUCCGGAGGUUGACUUAAUUCCCCGUAAGUGGGUCCCAAUGGACGUUUUGUUAAUUGGCAGGUGGGGCAGGUCUUAACCUUUUGUUUAAUAUCUUUUGACAUACCUUGCCAGUAAUAUUGCGUGGAGAUGAGUCGUGACAUUUGUGAAAUACCGGGGUGAUUGUAUUGUGUGUGUACUGUUUGUAAGAGUUGUUGUAUGAGUGGUUUUGGAAUUAUAAUCUUGGUUACACCUUUUCGGGAAACUGUAUGUAAUCCAUUACGAUCAAUGGUCAGGCUAGACUCUCUCGAUGGAGGAGGUUGGUGUGUUUUGAUAAGGGACGCGUCCAAAAAUCCACAGAACGGGUUACGGGACAAAAGAUCCGCCUCAUACUGUUGUUUUCCCUUUAUGUAGCGGACUUCGUACUCGUAACUUGAUAGCCGUAAACUCCAUCGAAACAAUCUGCCGGACGGGUUUUUGAUGGUCUUCAGCCACUGCAAUGCGUGAUAGUGAGAAAAUAUAGUAAACUUUCUGCCCAUCAGAUAGAUGCGAAACUUCUCCACACUCUCAACGAUUGCUAAGCACUCAAGUUCAGAGAUGGAGUAGUUUUUCUCGUGUGGGCGCAAUGUUCGGCUGAAAAACUGAACUGGAUAUACGUUCCCGUCAGGGUGAACCUGUUUGAGAAUGCCCGCUAUACCGAGGGUGGAUGCAUCGCAAUACACUUGGCAUGGCAGGCCUUCUUUGUAAAGGUGUAAGAUGGGGUGUUGUGUGAGGUUCCCUUUUAGGUCAAUGAACGCCUUUUGGCAAGUUUCAUCCCAGAUCCACACGACAUCCUUUUUGAGGAGGUUAUUGAGUGGUGCUCGCAAGCGAGCGUAGUCCGGGAUGAAUUUGUUAUAGACGUUCACAGCGCCUAAAAAGGAUUGUAGUGUUUUUCGGUUGUGUGGUUGUUUAAUGGCGUGAAUGAUGUCGGUGUUGCGUGUGAGCGGUGUGGUUGUACCAGCUGUGAUGGUGUAGCCUAGGAAAUCUAUGGACUGCUUAAAAAAUUCGCAUUUCGCGAAGUUAAGUUGUAACUCCUCUGCUUCGCAAAAGGCGAAAAAUUGUCGCAGGUGGUUUUGAUGUUCCUCCAAUGUGUUGGAGUAAAUGAUGAAAUCAUCAAAAUAAUGUGCCACACAGUCAAGUCCGUGUCUCUGUAGGACCUGACUCAUGGCUCGUUCGUAGAUCUGAGGGCUGGUUUUUAAACCGAAAGGUAAUCGAGUGGGUUGGUAUAACCCUUCGAGGGUGGCAAAUGCUAACAGUGGUCGAGAAUCGGGGUGUAUUGGGACCUGCCAAUACGCAGAGGAUAUGUCGGCCGUGGAGAAAUAUUUGGCCUGUGCGAGGCGGUCGAGGAUAUCCUCGAUUCUCGGGAGGGGAUGGACAUCAGAGCUAAUUAGCUCGUUCACCUUUCUAUAAUCGAUACAAAACCGUUUGGUCUUGUCGCGCUUAGUGACGAGGGUGACAGGGCUCGAGAAAGGUGAAAAAGAUUGCUCUAUAAUGCCAUUCUCUAGCAUUUGUUGGACUUGAUUACGGAUUUCUUGUUGGUCACAUAUCGGAACACGAUAUGGCCGUAUGGUAAUUAUUUUGUCGGAAUUCGUGGGUAUUUUUACUGGUGGAAUCCUUAAGCAUGGUACGUUGAAUUUGUUCUGUGUGAAGAUGUGAUUGUAUCUUUGUAACAGUGUUGUGAAUUGGGGUGUAUAGCGAGUGUCAGGUGUUGUGUUGUAGUAUGCAUGUGGUAAAGGAUUUUGUUGGGUCUUAGUGUGAGUGUCGAGUUCGUGGUGUGGGUUGGUCAUGUGAUAGUUGUGUGACGACGUGUGAUCACCUAUGUGCUCGACAUGUAAGUUGUCCUGCUGUAUGGACAUGUUUUGGGCAUGGUGUUUACAAGUUGAAGCCGUUGUGGCUUUGUUAUUUGAGGGCAUGUAAAAAAGGCAAUUGGCCUUAGUGAAAAAAUGGCAUGUAGAUAAGGGUUUUUUUUUCAAUGAAUGCACGCAAUGGUUGUCAUAGGCGGAAAGUUUGGCUGUAGGGUAAGAUCUUUGUGAUAUCGCCUGACAUUGCCAGUAGGUGCAUACAUUUGGUACAUUGUUAAAAUGGUAGGAUGAGGUAGACAAUGGGGCGCCCAGCUGGAAUAUAGUGCAUUUAUUAAAAACUAUUGCUAAUUUGAAUUUGUGGAGGCUAUUAAGGCUAAGAAUUCCAAAUGGUAACGGUGCAUUCACUACAUGGAAAUUCUCUCUUCGGGAUAUUUGGCCUAUGGUUAGUGGGAAAGACAGUUUACCCAUUGUUUUUGCAAAACCAUCCAGGGUUUGGAGAUCCAGUGAGUGUCUCUUAAAGGUUAAUUUAGGCAGGUGAGUUUUUAACAUAUUGUAGAGAUUGUAUGGCACUAUAUUCAGGCUGGCGCCUGUAUCAAUUAAAAAGGGGCAUGGUAUAUUAGGGGCUAGGAAAAGUUUUACAGUCAGUUGGGUUAGGGAGUCUACCUCAGUCUCGAAAAGUCUGCUCGGCUGGGGUGUCUCUGGCUUGAGAUGGUUGCUGGGGACUCGGGACUGGUUGUUUUGGGACUGAUUGCACUGUCCUGGCACUUUGAUAUCGGUUGCUCGGGACUGAUUGCACUGUCCGUUCUUUUUCAUGGGUCGCCGGGACUGGUCGAUGCCGGCAUUCGCUGUGCCAGUGUCCCGCGCCGCAGAACUUACAGUUGGACGGUGGAAGAGGUGCAUUCCAGGCACCUGGGCGUCGAAGUGUGUUGUGGUACGGACCCGACAUCGUGGGUGGUUGGUCCUCUCUGUGUCGCGUUGUCGGUACACUGGGCCCGUGGAUCCGCUUUACCAGUCGGAACCACUCUCCUAGGUUCUCGGGAGGCACUACGCGGACUAGGCGCUGGUCGGAGAAUGGCAACCCUUCUGUCAGCGUCUCGAGGAUCACCUCCUGCGGGAGUCCUAGUUGUAGCCCCAUGGCGGUUUUCUCCCGGUAGUAGGUCUCUAGGUUGGCUUGUCCAUUAAGCUUCAUGGCGAAAUAUUUCGCAAAGGACGCUUCGCUUGACUCAGGGUAGAGAUCUAAGAGGAUUUGUCUCAUCUGGAAAUAGCUCCGGUCGGCCAGCCGAAGUUUCCUGAAAAGCUCCAGGGGUUGUCGCACCAGGUAGUUUGGUAGACGGAGUAAUUUUUCUCUUUCUUCCAUGGCGGCGUCUUCCAUUUUCCGGUCGAAUGCUUGGGAAAACUGGGUCGCACUGUACGUUCCAUCGAAGAUUGGUAGAUCCGCGCCCGGGGUGCUGGAUCUGUCCUGGGCGAACGCCGCCGCAAUCUGACGAAUGGCAACCGCUAGGGGUUCCGUCUCCUCUCUGCCGGUCAUUUCCUGUCUGCUGCCUUCUUCCCCCCUUUCUUUCGUUGGGUCGUCCUUCCUUACGCCGAUUGAAUCUUGGUUAAUCUCCAUCUCUUUAUCCUGUCGACUAAAUCCGUUUGUCGCAAUAUCGUUGCGGAAUUUCUUGUUGUUGGAUGAGAAUGGUGUAGAUUGUUGGAAGCGCAGUCGUUUGAGUGGAAAGUGAAGCAUACAGUGGGGAAUAACCAGGACACGUGAUGGGGUUUGAAAAAUAAAAGGCAACUGGUCGGAGGAAAGAAAGGCUGAGAAGGCGGAGCGGUUUUUGAUUAUUGGCCUAUAUAUUCACAUGGCGGUGAUUGACUUAGCUGAAAAAGAUGAACGGGGGAGGUCUCUAGAGCAGGUGUUACCUCGGUGGGAGCUAGCUAACUACUAGGUGCUAUCUCGGUGGGAGCGAAGCGACAACUGACAAUUCUUGGUUCUCGAUUUAACACGAGAACCCUUCUUACUUCCCAUUGGUGGAAAGGUGUGACGUGGCGGUUCUCUAUUGGUUGACCUCUGAGGAGUUGCUUCCUAAUUGGUCUACGUUACUUCUUUUGUCUCAAGACAUGUCCCAGCUUGACCAGGAAAUAAUAGUUUGUUGAACCCAACUUUUAUUAGUUCCGCGAUAAUAAAACUGGGUAUAAUUUUGCUAACUUCUAAGCCUCUUUUCUAGGCCUUUCUUCCUCCAAUGUUACCUUGUUUUAUUGAAACAAAUCAUACAUUUUCAUACAUAUAUUGGAUUAGGUUGGCAUCUAAUUGUACAAAUUAUGACAUAUACUAGUAUAUAUUUAUUUAAUUAAAAAGGGAUAGUUUGGAUCAAAAUAUCAUUUAUUUUACCAAUAUUUCAGUUUGCUGAACGCCAACUUUUAUCCAUGUAUUUAAACAUAUUAAUGUGUCUCACACUCUCUCUACAUAUGAAUAUAUUUGAAAUAAUCACAAAUAUAAAUGAAAAUAACGAAAUAUAAGAGUUUUUACAAGAAGAAUAAAUAAAUAUACAAAUUAAUAUUUAUAAUCACCUUGAGAAGUAAAUUAUUAAACGUACAAAAUCGUGGGAAGUUGAGUUUCUUGUAAUUACUUGUUACAAAAACUUUUUGUCUCACGAUUUUUUACUUUAAAUAAUUUAGUUAAAUUCUGAGAUUUAAAAUUUAUUUAUUUAUUCUUUUUAUUAAUGUUUUAAUAGUUUGUUUUAUUUAUAUUACAUUUUUAUUAGUAUUAACAUUAUUAUUAUUUUUUAUAUUUAUUAAUUAUUAUUUUUCAAAUACAUUUAUUUUGAAGGUAUAAUAUAUUUUGAAUUUCUAAACGGUAGGCAGUGAAGCGAAAAAAUCGAGCCUUCCCAAACAAUCUUGUUCCCUGAAGAAGUUUGGCGUAUCACCCCACCAAAUAUUGGAAAGAUCAAAUAUUUGACCCAAAAUAAUAAUUUUAUAAAAUAUAAAUGCUUAUCUUAUAUAAUGUUAUUAUCUCAUUUUCACAUUUGAAAAUAGAUUUUUCAAAUGUGAAAAUGAGAUAAUAACAUUAUAUAAGAUAAGCAUUUAUAUUUUAUAUAAUUCUUAUUUGGGUCACUAGAUGGCAGAGCGCCAUCUAUUGAAACAGAAAUCAACUAAACGUUGAUUUAGCCAGUUCCCUGAUACUCGGCCAAUCCAUUUUCUUGAUAGAUUAAGAAAAGCCAUCCACGAACGCGUUUAUGCUGUUGGCCUUCGUCAUCGUACCACUGCGUCGACUGUCAUCUAAAAAGAACAUGUGCUCCUAGACAAAGAAGGCAUAUCCUGACUAGGAGCACAUGUGCUUUUUAGAUGACAGUGGACGCAGUGGUUACGAGGGUCAACAGCCCGAAAAGCGUUCGUGGAUAGCUUUUCUUGAUUCAUCAAGAAAAUGGAUUGGCCAAAUAUCAGGGAACAGGCUAAAUCAACGUAUAGUUGAUUUCUAUUCCACUAAAUGGCGCUCUGCCAUCUAAAAAGUACAUGUGCUCCUGGUCAGGACAUGACUUCUUUGUUUUUAAUAUCAACACCUGGCUUUAUUAUUAUUAUUUUUCAUAUAUGUUGAUCUAUAUGAAUUAAAACGUGGGUUUUUCUCGCACCGACUUCCACAUAUAGAGACAUAAUCUUCCUAGAUUGAACUAAAUAUGGAGGAAGUCACAUUUUUAUCUAUAUACAAGCCGAAUGACCCAGGCCACGGCCGGGUUUUACCCGAUUAAAUGUUUUUAUUCAAAUAGUAUUCUUUACAAUUAUAAAUUGGUGCCGUAGAUGUCACUCUUGUGAAAAGUCGCACUCCAACUUUGUGCGUUUUUAAAAUAUAAAAAUAAAAUUGUAAAUUUUCUCAACGAUAUUUGAAAAUUGUAUUAUUUUGAUUUUUCAUAUGAAUUUAUUUUAAAUUUGAUAUAUAUAAAUAGCAAGUGAUUACUUGCCCCUACGCGGUCAUUAGGUCACUCAAGGUCACUCUUGUGAAACGUCCCGCUCCACCAAUCCCCGUCGCCCCACGUGGUCCAUCCUUCCCCAACUUU